rnacentral:lncRNA from 1 species
UUAGUAAGACUUGUUCAUAGGUUGUUUAGUUUAUGUUCUGCAUGUUUCCUAUUUCUCAGGCAUUGCAUGCGCAUGAGCACCAACCUGUGGCUGCCGUGCGUAUAGGAGAACAUGGCGAGAAUAGCUCGCAUGUUCCUAGGCUGAGCGGCAUUCUAGCAGCAUCGUGAGCAUGGGGAUGGACGUGCUCGCCGUGCAGUGUGCGGCUGGUUGUUGGAGCCGCCGCUUCUUUGUAGUUGCACAAUAAA